CCGAGUUUUCCACAACUCCCAAACCCCAUGUGAACCGUACCAACCUGUUGCUUCGGCGGGAUCGCCCCGGGCUCGCACCGGAACCAGGCGCCCGCCGGAGGACCCAAACUCUUCUGUUUUUUGAGCAUGUAUCUUCUGAGUCUCCAUACAAAAAUGAAUCA
rnacentral:misc_RNA from 1 species